AAACUUUUAGAUGGACAACCCAAACAAGCAAACAUUUUGUUAAGGCACAACAGAGAGACGCAUAUAGCAGCCAAAAGCCGCCCAAACUCAACCACACCGCACUCCGACCCCGUAUACUCGGAUUUCUCUGUCUCUCACUCUCUUCCACUCCGUCACCGAGUCUUUCGGAGAUGGCAGAGGUAAAGUUGGACUCAAAUAUCCCAUCUGAAUCUGAUGAAAAUGGGACUUUAGAGCCUUCAAAUGAGAAUGAAGACUCAGUUGAACCGUCUACAACAGUGGAAAAUGAUGAAGACGAGGAGAAAGCAGAAGUUUCGAAGAAGAAAAAGAAGAAAAAUAAAAGCAAGAAAAAGAAAGCACAGCCAGAGAAGACUGAUUUACCAACUAUGCUUAAACAGACUGAUCCACCGUCUAUUCCUGUUACUGAUCUUUUUCCAUCUGGGGAGUUCCCUGAGGGUGAAAUUCAACAAUAUAGAGAUGAUAACUUGUGGAGAACUACCUCUGAAGAGAAGAGAGAGUUGGAACGUCUUGAAAAGCCAAUGUAUAAUUCAGUCCGUAGAGCAGCAGAAGUUCAUCGUCAGGUUAGGAAAUACAUCAAAAGCAUCUUGAAGCCUGGAAUGCUGAUGACUGAUUUGUGUGAGACAUUGGAGAAUACAGUCCGUAAGUUGAUAUCUGAGAAUGGUCUGGAAGCAGGAAUUGCUUUCCCCACGGGAUGUUCUUUGAAUUGGGUUGCUGCUCAUUGGACCCCAAACUCAGGCGAUAAGACUGUGCUUCAGUAUGACGAUGUAAUGAAGUUGGAUUUCGGAACUCAUAUUGAUGGAUGCAUAGUUGAUUGUGCUUUUACAGUGGCAUUUAAUCCUAUGUUUGAUCCAUUGCUUGAAGCCUCACGUGAAGCUACCAAUACUGGUAUCAAGGAGGCUGGGAUUGAUGUUCGUCUCUGCGAUGUUGGUGCUGCAAUCCAAGAGGUCAUGGAAUCAUAUGAGGUUGAAAUUAAUGGAAAGGUGCAUCAAGUUAAAAGUAUCCGAAACCUGAAUGGGCAUAGCAUUGGUCGCUAUCAAAUCCAUGCUGGAAAAUCUGUUCCUAUAGUGAAAGGAGGGGAGCAGACAAAAAUGGAAGAAGGGGAAUUUUUUGCGAUUGAAACUUUUGGAUCAACUGGAAAAGGAUAUGUCAGAGAAGAUCUAGAAUGCAGCCAUUACAUGAAAAAUUUUGAAGUCGGCCAUAUCCCACUGAGGAUGCCUAGGGCAAAGCAGUUAUUAGCAACGAUUAACAAGAACUUUUCUACAUUGGCCUUCUGUAGACGGUACUUGGACCGUCUUGGAGAGACUAAAUAUCUUAUGGCAUUGAAGAAUUUGUGUGAUGCUGGUAUUGUUCAGCCCUACCCUCCUUUAUGUGAUGUCAAGGGAAGCUAUGUAUCACAGUUUGAGCAUACCAUCUUACUCCGGCCUACCUGCAAGGAGGUCAUAUCAAGAGGUGAUGACUAUUGAAGUGAAUGGAACUCAAUUUUGUCAAGAAUAUACUGUACCAUGUACUUUCAGACGUGAAAGGUGAACAUGUUUAUACCAAAAUUUAUCUCCAAUGAAGAGCGAAGAAGAAAAAUAGGGAAAGAGAUAUUUCAGUUGAUGGAACUAGAAUCGGUAGCAAAAAUAUGGAAAGCCCUUACAAUAAGAAACGAGAAUUAUUUUUAUAUUAGCCAUAUGAUCUUUGUUACCUUUUAGGCGAUACUCGAUUAAGUAAAAAGUAAAUAGAACAUGUGUAAAUGAUUUGAUGCAUAUACUAGUAAGAGAGGUUAUCUCCGACAGCAACACCAAACUGGAUGAAGUAGUCUUUGUGAAGGUUGAUGCAGCUUCAACUUUGUCACUCUAUCACCGCAUUCCAGAAGGCCAUUAAUCACGUUGAUGGUCGCUUCAAAUCCCUGUCCUAAUGUUUUGGACGUCUUUUGAGAUAGUUUGCAUGUUUAUUAAAUUAUUAUUA